AGCAUCACUCAUACCGCGCGCGGUCUACCGUGUUCCCUCGUCGGUGUGACCUUGUGGCCCUGCACCGGGAUCCCGAGGUCCGCUUUCGAGAUUGCGGACCACGAGUCGGAAGGAUAUCCAGUGUGCUUCUCCACGUUUGCCAUCCUCCCAACGUCCCCCACCGGAGAUGGCCUUGAGCACCUCUUACCGUGGCUGACCGCGUUGGCUCCUUUGCAUUUCCACGUCCAUGGCAUCCUUCUGCUACGGGCGUCUUCGUUUGCUACUACUGCCCACCUGUAAGAUGGAUAUCCAGUGCGCUGCUCCACGUUUGCCAUCCUCCCAACGUCCCCCUCAGGAGAUGGCCUAGAGCACCGCUCGUACCGUGAUCGUCCGCUCCCCUUCACCGGUGCGGUCUCGCUGGCAGACGAGAUUGCU